UAAAAACACAAGUCCAAAGCAAAAGUGAAACCUGCUCUCCGGCUGUUCACCAUCUGUGCCUACAGCACCCUCCUGCUGAUUACUUACUAUAAUGGACUACUCCUGGAAAUGAACAUGAACCUAUUGCUGUUUUAAUCUAACUGGUCACCAACUGGGAAGAGGUGCCAUCAAGCCUGAUAGGUAAGACUAAAUAUCCAGGUCCAAAAUUCCAUAGCAAGAAGCUGCUGGGUCUGUCCCCAACUCAGUGGAAAUGUCUGAGCAAGGUCACAAGAUUUCCAUGCCAAGCUAGACCUUCAUUCUACACAAUGCCCUGGGUUUAAGCAGCAGAAGAGAAAUUCUGCAGCAGCUUUAGGUACAUUAAAAACUGGAGGGUCUGAAUGAAAUAGGAUUAUGAAUAAUGCAGCCUAUUUCUUGUGCUAUUUAUUUUGACAUUAUAUUCAGUUUAUUUUACUGUGCCUCUACAUUGCCAAGAUUCAAAUGUGAGCAGUGUCUCGAUUUAGGAUUCCCUUCUCCCUCCCACCCUCUUUGAUGGGAUAGUUUUGUAAUCUGGAUUUUGGAUGCAAUACCUAGAAGACUGGUUCAGAUCUGGAUCCAAACACUUCCCAAAUUCAGUGAUGUUUGCAUUUGGAAUCUGGGUUUGGGGCUCCUUGUCUUUGGCCAGCACAGUGUUUGUGCCAGUCUUCUCCCAUCUGUUAAUGCCUGCUCUCCCUAUUCUUUUAUUGGUCUUCUAGGACUGCCAUUUAUAUUAAGACCAAAUCGGAGAUAGUGUAAUCCAGCCUCACUGCACUGACGGCCUUGGAACAGCACCUGCUGAUUCCAGGUCUGAAUUUGGCUCCAUAAAUUCUUAAUGGCCUCACUCAUAAUCGUUUAUCCCAGUUACAAGGUAGCUAUUCCUUUUUAAACACCAUUUUCUUGUUAAUCCCUUUGAAUAAAUGGUUUCCCUUGAUUAAUUUUGUGCCAAAUCCCAGAUUCACAUAAACAGUCAUUUGUUGCUCCCUCUUCUCAUGCACAAGACAGCUGUGCUCUAUUGCAAUUGAAUCAGUUUUGAAUCUGACUUUUCAGGCUUCCGAGAAACAUGUGCCUUGAUAAUCAUUCCAAGUGAAAUGUCAUUGGGAAUUUCUUAUGUAGAAAUCAUGCAUGGAUAAUUGCUAUAUGGAAAUUGCUGCUUUAGCCAGGAAUAAGGACAUGCCCGAAUGAGGCCAUCUGACCAUCUGCUGCACUAUUUCAAUGCCCUGUCUUCUAGCCCCAGGAGUCAGAGACAUGGCACCGCUAGAGCCUACAGGCAGCUCAGCUGUACCAUUACCAUAUGCAGACAGCUAUUGACCCAAACUGAGGCCCAGCAUCCAUAUUUCUGCUCAUUCCCCCACUAUUAUGCUGAGGGAUCUUUCAUUGCUUCAUCUUUGUUGGCAUCUAACCUGGCAAAAAGUGCCUCUCCACCUUGAAUUUAUUGGAUUCAUUCAGAGCAAAAGAGGAGAGAGAGCUCAUCUGAAAUAUAUCGGUAAACAAGUGCUUGUCACUGCUGGGGUGAUUACUGUAAUAUUUAUAUUCCAAAGACUGCAACUAAGCAAAAACCUGGUCAUUAGUUCCAAGAGAGAAAGCAUGAUGAUUCUGAGGACCAAAUUCAGCUCAUGCAUAAGCAAGCACAAUUCCUAUGGAAUCCUAGAGAUAUGGUGCCCACCUACACCAGAGCUGAACUGAACCUGGAGACUAAGUCACAAAGGGUCUAUUUCUUCAUUCAUCACCUCUAAGAACUAGAACGCUGGUUAACACAGAGCAUUGCUAUCAAUAAAGUUGACCUGAUAAACGUGUAAGGAGAAAUUUAUUGGGAAAUGUCAUGCAAGCAGUUCCGAGCAAGGACAUCACUGAUGCCCAAAGCUGUUUGCAGGUGAGUUAAAAGAAUGACACCUUUUAAAUAAUUUGACAGUAAGCAACUUGGCCUAUGGACAAAUGAAAAUGAUCUAGUCAUGAACAUGUAGAACUUCUUUGCUGUCUCAUAUAGAGAUAUCAAAAUGUAUCCGACAUACACCAUCUGUUUUACUCCACACUUUUUGUCCUCAUUCACAGUGAUUCAGAAAAGGUACAAUGGAUAACUACCAACGUGUGGAAGCUUUUUAUUUUUGUAGCUCAUUCUGAACCUGUGACAGCACAAGAUAUAUUUUUGCUAAGAAGAAGCCUGAAAUAUACCAUUCUGUAGAAUAAUACUCCGUAUCUCAAUGGGAAGACAUGUGAACAGAUGCUUAACAACAAAUGUGGUGAAAUAUAGUGCACAUUUCAGUUAUUUAAAUGCAUGAAAACUAAAGAUCUAAGGAAAAGUAUAAAAUUCAAGGUGAAUAUACAUUAGUUUUGUGCAGAUACUACAAAG